UGUAUAAUGGGUCAGCGACUUAUAUUCUGUAGCAAGGUUAACCGAAUAGGGGAGCCGAAGGGAAACCGAGUCUUAACUGGGCGUUAAGUUGCAGGGUAUAGACCCGAAACCCGGUGAUCUAGCCAUGGGCAGGUUGAAGGUUGGGUAACACUAACUGGAGGACCGAACCGACUAAUGUUGAAAAAUUAGCGGAUGACUUGUGGCUGGGGGUGAAAGGCCAAUCAAACCGGGAGAUAGCUGGUUCUCCCCGAAAGCUAUUUAGGUAGCGCCUCGUGAAUUCAUCUCCGGGGGUAGAGCACUGUUUCGGCAAGGGGGUCAUCCCGA
rnacentral:rRNA from 1 species